UGAUGUGUCAAAGUGACUGUGGUUGCAU
rnacentral:piRNA from 1 species